rnacentral:rRNA from 1 species
AUUGAACGCUGGCGGCAGGCCUAACACAUGCAAGUCGAACGAGUGGCGGACGGGUGAGUAAUGUCUGGGAAACUGCCCGAUGGAGGGGUGUAACUACUGGAAACGGUAGCUAAUACCGCCUACCAUCGGAUGUGCCCAGAUGGGAUGAGCUAGUAGGUGGGGUAACGGCUCACCUAGGCGACGAUCCCUAGCUGGUCUUAGAGGAUGACCAGCCACACUGGAACUGAGACACGGUCCAGACUCCUACGGGAGGCAGCAGUGGGGAAUAUUGCACAAUGGGCGAAAGCCUGAUGCAGCCAUGCCGCGUGAAUGAAGAAGGCUUUCGGGUUGUAAAGUACUUUCAGCGAGGAGGCGUUACUCGCAGAAGAAGCACCGGCUAACUCCGUGCCAGCAGCCGCGGUAAUUC